rnacentral:rRNA from 1 species
CCUACGGGCGGCAGCAGUAGGGAAUUUUCGGCAAUGGGCGGAACCCUGACGGAGCAACGCCGCGUGAACGAAGAAGUUAUUCGUAAUGUAAAGUGCUGUUAACAGGGAAGAAAGAGAACUUUGACGGUACCUGAAGAAUAAGCGGCGGCUAAGUACGUGCCAGUAGCAGCGGUAAUACGUAGGGAGCGAGCGUUAUCCGGAAUUAUUGGGAGUAAAGGGUGCGUAGAUGGCAUAGUAAGUCUUUUGUAAAGAUGCGGGGAUCAACCCAGUAGGGCAAAAGAAACUGGAAAGCUAGAGUAUGACAGAGGCAAGUGGAACUACAUGUGAAGCGGUAAAAUGCGUAAAUAUAUGUAAGAACACCAGUGGCGAAGGCGGCUUACUGGGUCGAUACUGACAUUGAGGCACGAAAGCGUGGGGAGCAAACAGGAUUAGAUACCCCAGUAGUC